UUUGGAAUAUGGCCUGAGAAUGAGUUAAAGCUCAAUUCUAGGCCAAUGAGUUUAGAAGCGUUUGUGAUGGAGUUGGGAAUUUUUCCGGUAAGGUUAUUGGCCGCCAAGGUUAAAUACUCUAUGCUCGGAAGCGAGUGGCCAAUCGUUGAUGGUAAGUGGCCUGAAAGUUGAUUGCUAAUUAGAUUAAGGACUGUUAGGGUUGAAAUGUUGAAGAUUGUGGGUGGAAUGGGGCCACUUAAAUUAUUCGCACUAAGAACAAGGGUAUCCAAAUUUUGUAGAUUGCCAAUCUCAGUUGGAAUUUGACCUGUCAUAAAGAUAAACGCCAAAUUGAUGAGUUAUUGAGCUUUUUACUUAACAUAAAUUUUAAUUUCAUAACGCAUGAAAAUCAAAUUUGCCCACAAAAUGUGUGUUAUUAGUUUUAUAAUAUAUUUUUUUGGGUUUUUUUUGGGGGGGGGGGGNNNNNNNNNNNNNNNNNNNNNNNNNNNNNNNNNNNCAGCAGAUUGAUAUUGCUACCUCAUAAUUUUUGUAAAACCCCACCCGCUUUCAGAAAAUUAUUGGAACAAGAUUCUUAAAAAAAUUCAAAUAAAGAAGAAGUUUGGAGAAUUAAUCAAUUAAAUCCAUCUUAAUCUACUUUUUGAAACUUAUAUUCUUUUAUCAUAUAUAAUAACUAAGGUUGCUUUAACAUAAAUUUAAUAUAACUAGUCUACUCUCAUAAGGUAGAAUUACUAAAAUACCCACAAAUUUACUUCAACUUCAACUAAACUAACAAAAUGUAUUUGUUGACAUGUGGGGAACUAAAAAUUAUUGAAUUUUAUUUUAGAAAUAUUGUAUUACAAAACAUAAAACAAAAUGCCGAAACUAUAUAUUAGAUACAAUAGUACAUGUUUUUCGGGGUAAUUUGAUCAUUUUAUAUUAUAAGAGUAAAAUAGUCAAAUUAAACUUAUUUUUAAAGCAACCGUAAACGGCCAAAGAUUGUUAAAAGCCCUAAGUCAUAAAAGAAAAACAUUAUAAAAAUAAUUUAUUAAUUGUUCAGACUUAAUUUAUAAUUCUAUAACAUAAUGUGAACUUAUUAUAACUAUCUUAUCAAAAUGAGGUGGGUUUGCAAGAAUAAUGAGUGGAAAUAUCCCCAACCUAUAAAAUAAAAAGAAUUUUGCAGCUGAAUGUAUUUGGAAUAUGGCCUGAGAAUGAGUUAAAGCUCAAUUCUAGGCCAAUGAGUUUAGAAGCGUUUGUGAUGGAGUUGGGAAUUUUUCCGGUAAGGUUAUUGGCCGCCAAGGUUAAAUACUCUAUGCUCGGAAGCGAGUGGCCAAUCGUUGAUGGUAAGUGGCCUGAAAGUUGAUUGCUAAUUAGAUUAAGGACUGUUAGGGUUGAAAUGUUGAAGAUUGUGGGUGGAAUGGGGCCACUUAAA
rnacentral:lncRNA from 1 species